rnacentral:rRNA from 1 species
GCACAGCAACGGGUGGAGCGUGCGGUUCAAUUGGAUUCAACGCCGGAAAACUCACCGGAGGCGACGGUUACAUGAAGGCCAGGCUGAUGACCUUGCCUGAUUUUCCGAGAGGUGGUGCAUGGCCGCCGUCAGUUCGUACCGUAAGGCGUUCUGUUAAGUCAGACAACGAACGAGACCCUCAUCUUUAAUUGCUACUAGUAAGUUCGCUUACUGGGCACAUUAAAGAAACCGCUGGCGAUAAGUCAGAGGAAGGCGAGGGCAACGGUAGGUCAGUAUGCCCUGAAUCCUCCGGGCUACACGCGCGCUACAAAGGCUAGGACAAUGAGCUUCAACACCGAGAGGUGAAGGUGAUCUCGAAACCUAGUCGUAGUUCGGAUUGAGGGUUGAAACUCACCCUCAUGAAGCUGGAAUCCGUAGUAAUCGCGGAUCAACAUCCCGCGGUGAAUAUGCCCCUGCUCCUUGCACACACCGCCCGUCAAACCAUGCGAGUUGGGUUUGAGUGAGGAUGUAGUUUUUGCUACGUUCAAACUUAGGCUUAGUAAGCGGGGUU